UGACUAUCGUCAGAGUCAAUCAAAAACCUAAUUAAACUACGUAGAUAGCGUAAGUAGGGUAUCGUAUCCACGGGGAAUAUGUGGUUAGUGUUUAACUAGAGAAUUAUUAUAUAUUAAAGGAAAGCAACUCCCACCCAGAAUCCCGAUUGCAAGUUUAACACAAAAACCCGUUUACAGAUUCAUAACACCACAUAGACAUGGCCUCGGAAUUAAUGAAUUUGAUUAAUUAUUAGGGAUAGCUUUUAAGAUUCACCAUACAACCUAAUAAUCCAUUUAUUUAUAUCAACUACCCACCAAUUUACCAACCCGCUAACGAUGCAAGUAUAUCGCCAAUACGCUUGAUAAACGACAAAUAAUUCAAAUAUAAAAAACGUUUACCAAGAAUUCAACACAAGUGGUCAAGCUUUACCAGUUAAAAAGAAUCCGUGAACAAAGUUUAAUGAAAAACAAAGUAAUCGUUCAUCCGGGCAGAAGCCACAAGCAAAAAGAUAAAGGUAACGUCCUCCAAGUUUCAGAUUCUAGGUUCACACCAAACUUAAUUUAAUCAUUAAUUGGACACCACAUAGACAUGGUGCUGAAAAGUCGGUUAAUUUAAGUGGUAAUCAAAAAUAGGUCUUUGUCAUCAGAUCUUUUACAGUUCAAUUACCCUAUUUACUAGUGUGAGUCAACCUACUCUAUGUCACCCAACGAGCUACAAAGUUUUGUCAUCAACCGAGCAAGUUGUAAAAGUCAAUCAAAAACCUAAUUAAACUACGUAGAUAGCGUAAGUAGGGUAUCGUAUCCACGGGGAAUAUGUGGUUAGUGUUUAACUAGAGAAUUAUUAUAUAUUAAAGGAAAGCAACUCCCACCCAGAAUCCCGAUUGCAAGUUUAACACAAAAACCCGUUUACAGAUUCAUAACACCACAUAGACAUGGCCUCGGAAUUAAUGAAUUUGAUUAAUUAUUAGGGAUAGCUUUUAAGAUUCACCAUACAACCUAAUAAUCCAUUUAUUUAUAUCAACUACCCACCAAUUUACCAACCCGCUAACGAUGCAAGUAUAUCGCCAAUACGCUUGAUAAACGACAAAUAAUUCAAAUAUAAAAAACGUUUACCAAGAAUUCAACACAAGUGGUCAAGCUUUACCAGUUAAAAAGAAUCCGUGAACAAAGUUUAAUGAAAAACAAAGUAAUCGUUCAUCCGGGCAGAAGCCACAAGCAAAAAGAUAAAGGUAACGUCCUCCAAGUUUCAGAUUCUAGGUUCACACCAAACUUAAUUUAAUCAUUAAUUGGACACCACAUAGACAUGGUGCUGAAAAGUCGGUUAAUUUAAGUGGUAAUCAAAAAUAGGUCUUUGUCAUCAGAUCUUUUACAGUUCAAUUACCCUAUUUACUAGUGUGAGUCAACCUACUCUAUGUCACCCAACGAGCUACAAAGUUUUGUCAUCAACCGAGCAAGUUGUAAAGUAAGAGCUCAAAACACAUAAAAAUAGUUCAAAGAAACCAACACAUCAAAUUGUUUACAACGUUGUCAAUGUCAAAAACAAAUCCAAUAAUGCAUAAAACUAAGAAAAGUAAUAAACCCUACAAACCGUUCACUUGGAGAAAGCCACCUAAUCGAUCAUGCCUUGAACCGUGUACAGCCGCCCGAAGGCGG
rnacentral:lncRNA from 1 species